UCGGAGGGAGGGCGGCUGCUUCCUUGGCAAGGCAUGAAAUAGGUCAGUCCGUCCCCAGAACGUGGGGGAAAACAGGGGACCGAGACUGCGAGGCAUGGCAGCAAUGAGCAGCCUCACAUCAGAUGCAGGAGCAGUACCCCAUGAUGGGGAGGGCAGGCAAGGAGGUACACAGACAUUCGGGGAUUGCUGUUAAACACCGGACAUGCUUUGCAAACUGCAGUUCUCUCUUGGGUACAUGCCCUUCUGAAGUAAGAAACUAAUUUAAUGAAUUAAAUUAAUUAAUUUACAGCCUUGGCACUAAAGCACAGACUAAAGGUCAACAGCAUCUGCUGAUUUUGGAUAGUACAAACCAUGACUGCCCUGCUAUUUUUUGUUUUCCUGAGAACUUGGCAUUAUAUUGAGCUUUACCACAUGGCAACACAGAGUCCUCCUGUCUCCAGCUGCAGCUUUGAACAUGCAGCUUUUCAUCAGCCCAAUCCCAGGUCAGGCUGGAGGACCAGGAAUAUGACCUGGAGCCCCAGCCCUUCACUGCUCAGCUCUGGAAAUGCUAUAACCUUGAUGUCUGACCUCUCACUGCGUGCCAGCACACAGCAAAUAGCCAACGUGCUGAACAGGACAUGGGCCCCUUGGCAUCUCCUGCCCUCUUGACAUUCAUUCUGAAGGAGACCCAGCUGGUGGAAGAGAUACAGCGGGAAGAUGAGCAUGCAGGGGAUGGUUAAAGGUAGAGGUAGUGGGGCAAGUUUCACGCACAGAGCAGAGAGAGGGGCUGUCAGUCCAGGUGUGUGGGCUCCCUCAUGGCAGCAGGCGUGCAAUGCUGAUGACACUGAUUGGCGCAAUGCUCUUGCACGCGUGCAUGUGUGCAGGACUUCAAUGCAUUACCGUGUAAGAAGUGGGAGUUCCUCACCUCCCACUACCUGCAGGCAGCUGGUAAUGCUCAGAAAUACCUCUUGGUUCUGAGUCCCUGACAGCCAUCAUCUGUUGUCAGCAUGGAUCCUGCCACUGACUCCCCAGUCCCCACAGGCCAGCUCGUUUCCCUGCUGGCCCAUCGUGUCUUUGUCUGAGGCUUGUUCCAUCCCUCCUGCUGACCUUCUAUGGUCCAAGCUGUGGGGAAGCCACUGUCACAUACAUCCAUCCCCCAAAGUGAGCUGAUGCUGAAGCACUGCCAGUCUCUGGGAGAGUUUUGGAUUGUAGCAUAUAAGCCAAGGCAGCAUGGCCACCAUCAACCUCCCUUUCAAACUGCAGGGUCUCCCUCACCCCUACUACACCACUCCCAGGGCUCUCCUGCCUCAAUGGCUUCUGAGCUGGGCAUGUUUUAUGCUUUAGCUCUCCAUUCUACCCUUUGUCCCUCCUAAACCUUAAGGCCUGAGCCAAAAGACAAAACCUUAAUAAUGGUGAACAACAAAAACACAACAAAACAGGACACACGCACACAGACAUACAAAAAAAAGGAAAAAAAAAGUUAAAAUGAGCAAAUAACAAUGCAAAUUUAUCUCCCACCACCUGGGAAAUGGCUCACCUAUUUUGGCUGAGGAAGGACUAAGGCAGAAGCUGAGCACUGACAGCUGACAGAGUGCUCUGGGUCUUGCCAAGGCAAUGGAAACAAAAGGCUUUGAAAUGAGAACAGAUCAGACACCUUAAGACCAAGCAGCACUACAACAUUUUCUACACUGUUUGCCACCUCUAACUUAAUCCCUAGCAACUGUACUCAACAGGAGCAUUCAUUAAACAUGUCCAGCUUUGAAGAUAACUGUGUCUUUGCAGAUCACACUGUAACCCACCUGAGUGGACAUCUACAGAUUAACCCAGUCAGGGGAACUUCUCUUCCUCCCUCCCAUGCUUCUUCAUGGGUGGGAAAGCCAUUGUGACACACCCUUGGCAAGCAAGGGAUGGAAACACAGCCCCCACAGAACAGCCCAGAGUUCAGCACAGCUUGCCUUUGGCCUCUGAACUGACUGCUCCAGCAGCAGAGUUAACCAGGUCAGUCUCUUUCCUCCCUUCAAACACUUCAUCGGUGUGACACUGCAUUUUCAUUUCUUUUCCACCCAACACUCGUCAGCCAUCUUUCUUUAGCAAGGAGGUAAACACCCUGUUUUGUUUUCCCAUUUGUAUUUAAACUGUGAAUGGAGUGAAGCAACAGGCUGGGAAGCAGCUCUGAGUGGAAGCGAUACAAGCACUGAUUGCAACCAGGCUUUUCAGAUGUAUGAAAAAAUAACUCCCUCCCCCAAGGAGAUACUUCAGAAGCUGAAAGCGAAGAACUUAAGUACAAAGGCUUUUGUUUUUAUUGACAUUGUAAGAAACAUUUUUUUUUCUUUGUUACAAAAAAGCUAAGUGGUUCUGAAAGCAGAAGUACAGUUCAUAUGUACACAGUGCUACAGACCCGUCAGAUCAACCUAAGGCUUGAGAAACAUCAGAUCAUAACUGCAGGUUUAUCAAAUGAAGACCACUAAGGUCUGUUACAACUGAACACUAUUCCUACCAUACAUAAAUGUAUUUACACAUUCUCUUUUUUUUUUUUUUUUUAAGGAUUACAAGCUUUAUAAAAAAAAAUUAAAAAAUUUUUAGAAAAAGCAACACUUUUUUAUCUUACACAUCUGCAGGACUGACAACAGUAACUGUUCCAUAGGAGACAUUCCACCAAUCCAAGGACAAUAACACGUGAAUACCAGAGGUUUACAAGAUGUUUUGGACACUAUUAACAGUGGUAUGUGCUAUUAGCUCAAUGGCAAGUACAGCCUCAUCAGGAAAAUUUGGCAACACAUCCUGGUCCCUCUCUUUCACAGGGUCAACGCAAAAUAAGGCACAUACAUUGUGGGAAUAUAAACACUGCUGUCCAUGAGGACAAGCCAUGGUGGGACAGGCACGGGCGAGCAGACCAGCCAUCCCACUGAGGAGGGAGGAAUCAGUGACGGGAAGUCAGCAGCCAGCCAGCAUCUUAAUGCAUGUACCAUGUGGAGCCAUUCCCCAAGGAGAGAAUAACUCUUAUCUGCCAUGUGUGGAUGUGUGGGACCAUUGUCCCCCCGCGUGGAAGCCCAUUGACCUUCCUGCAAACACACCUUUCCUCCACCUGCGCGUAGCUGACGGAUAAACUCUUCACAGGCAACUUCCACUUGGUGGGAAGUGAAACUGUCUGGAGAAACACACAUGCUUCGGGCAGGCUGAGUGCUACUGAUGUGCCCCAGGCCAACAGUGACACAUAUGGAAGACACUCACAGAGCCUUUAUAUAUAAUGGUGAUUUAGACCUAUGCUGCAAUGCUUUAAAAAUAGAACAUUCAUGAUAUUUUGUGCAUUUUCUUGUACUCUUGGGUGAGCAGUGGGCUUCCAACAGCUAAGCAAAAAUCAACUGAUGUGCCACAUACAUGAAACCAGUUCUGUAACUGGAAGAGUAGAGGGGUGCUAGUAAACUCAUCCCACCAGUGUUGAUGGGAGUUUCCCCAGACUGCCAUAUGUUGAGAAGGAGGCUGACAAGUGAAAGCUGGUGUCCAGUGUAACAGCGCCAUGCUCAGCGAGACAAGUCUACCUUAUCAAAACAGAACCAAAACCCAAGAUAGAUGGGCUAUGAUGUAUUGCUACCCUCACAGGUACCAAAACCAGGCUUUUUAGUAUAAAACAGAAAAGCAUGAGAAAACACUAAAAACUGAAAAGUGAUUCAUGAACUUAAGUGGCACAUACACUUAAUAGUGAAAAUGAUAAAUCCUUUGCACAAACUCCCCAAGGACACAGUGGAGUCUCUGAUUCUUCAGCUUUGCCAAAUCAAAUGGGAUGCCUUUCUUGAACAUGUGGUUUCUGCCAAGACACACUGUUGGCCCAAGACAAGGCUAAGGGAGUGACGAAGGUUUGUCAAAUCCAGGAAGGCAAAUUGGCUACUCAAACAGUCCCUUUUAGCCUGGAGCAAUAUGAAUGGCUCCUUCUAAGCUCUGAUGGAUCACAUCUGUUAAUAGCUUCCCAGCAUCAAUUGCACCAGCAGAUACAAUUAUGAACUGGAAAAUUGAGUUUAAAAAAUAGUUGGGGAUGUUUGGGGGUUUUUUAAUGUAUUGGUUCCAUUACAAUAAAAGACUUCUCUCCCAA